UGGGGAAUAUUGCACAAUGGGCGAAAGCCUGAUGCAGCGACGCCGCGUGAGGGAAGAAGGUUUUCGGAUUGUAAACCUCUGUCCUCAGGGAAGAAAAUGACGGUACCUGAGGAGGAAGCCACGGCUAACUACGUGCCAGCAGCCGCGGUAAUACGUAGGUGGCAAGCGUUGUCCGGAAUUACUGGGUGUAAAGGGAGCGUAGGCGGGUAAGCAAGUUGAAUGUUAAAACUAUGGGCUUAACUCAUAGUCGCGUUCAAAACUGUUUAUCUUGAGUGAAGUAGAGGCAGGCGGAAUUCCUAGUGUAGCGGUGAAAUGCGUAAAUAUUAGGAGGAACACCAGUGGCGAAGGCGGUCUGCUGGGCUUUAACUGACGCUGAGGCUCGAAAGCGUGGGUAGCAAACA
rnacentral:rRNA from 1 species